UCAACAAUUGCAAAAAGAGACAGAAGUUUAUGGGAUGAUUUUUGUGCCAAUAAGAAUGAACGUAACUUUAUAAAACUGAACGUAACUUUCCAAGAAACGAUCAAAAAUAUGGCACUGCAAAAGAAGAAAAUCACAAUGAAAACGAAAAAAUGAUCUCAGUCGCACGAAUUUAACAUGCUCUUCAAAUAUGCUUCAUUCUUUGUUAAUGAUUUUCAAAGAAUCGUUUUCGUGAAUCAUGGAUUUUGAAUGCGUUGCCACAGCUUUCGCUAACGCUUCGCAAAUUUUCGUUUGCUGUUUUGGCAUAAACUUCUCGUGGGGGCGGGCUUAACAGCGAUCUACUCUGAUUGGCUAAUGAGCUUUUGAUGGACAGUUGCUCUCUGACCUGGAAGCACAGACGGUGACGUCAGUGGAGCGCAUAUCGAAAAGUUGUUGCGGUGUGCAAUACGUCGUGCUUUAUGUUAAGUAUUAAUGUUAGUAUUUUACCUACCGUCGGCUCUUUCUAAAGAUGACCUCCCGGGAGAAACACGGAGCGGCAUCAUCUUCCACCUCAUCUUGUCCCUCAGGGCAGCUUGAAAUCCUAUACCUUGAUGCUGCUGAAAACAACAAGGCAUCAACUGCUUUCUUAUUCGUCCUGGAGGGUGUUCACAAACAUGGGUGGACUUCAAGGGAGUUGAAAACGUGAACAUUGCGCGUUGCAUGUUCUCAGUACGAGGAACUGGUCGAGGUAGCUUCAUUGCCGGAAAAAGCGUUCACAAUCAAAGAAUUGAGCACCUGUGGUGUGAUGUUUGGUCAGCUGUCACUUCAAAAUAUUAUGAAAUCCUGCAUGCAAUGGUAUAUGGAGUGCCUGAUUUAUUAAAUGAAUUACACCUCUUUUGUGUGCACUACACAAUUCUUCCAUGGCUGAAAUCUGACCUGAAGUGCUUCAUUAUGAGCUGGAACAACCAUCUAUCAUAACCGAAAAAAAUCUUUCACCAAAUCAGCUUUGAAACAUAGGAAAGUUGCAGACACCAGUGAUUGAGCCAGAUGUAGAGACAUUGGAGCGUUUGUAUCAACAGCAAACUGAUACUGACCCAGAAGAUGGUGUGGUGGUUCCAGAGAUCUAGUGCCCUUUAUCUAAACAGAGCCUUGCUCUUGUGGAAAUAUAAAUUUCUAUCAACUAAUUCCAAAUGAACAGUAAUCUACGUAUAACUGAAAAGUUAUA